UACGAAGGGGGCUAGCGUUGCUCGGAAUCACUGGGCGUAAAGCGCACGUAGGCGGCUUUUUAAGUCAGGGGUGAAAUCCUGGAGCUCAACUCCAGAACUGCCUUUGAUACUGGGAAGCUUGAGUCCGGGAGAGGUGAGUGGAACUCCGAGUGUAGAGGUGAAAUUCGUAGAUAUCUGGAGGAAUACCGGUGGCGAAGGCGGCAUCCUGGACCGGCAUUGACGCUGAUGAGCGAAAGCUAGGGGAGCAAACGGGG
rnacentral:rRNA from 1 species